UCCGUUCGAACGUCCGCAUACUCCUUCCUCUCUCUCUCUCUCUCUCUCUCUCUCUCUCUCUCUCACAGAGAGUAGCAAAAGGUUGCACGAAGCUCCAUUCCCGUGCCGCAAUGUCUCCUCCUCCUCUCUCCCUCCUCUCUCCAUCGAUCGCGUCUCCUUGAGGAGGAGGAGCAGGAGGAGCACAGCAUCCAUGGCGAGAUCGGGGGCGAAGCCGAUCGCGAAGAGGUACGUGCUCGUCCUCUCCGGCCUCGCCCUCCUCGGCGUCGCCCUCGUCGCCGAUUUCCUCUGGGCCUCCUCCUCCUCCUCCUCCUCGUCGUCGUCCUCGCCUCUUUGGUCCACGACGCUGGAUUUGUCUCUCUACGACGCCCCCAAACCCCCCGUGGCCAAGCAGGUUAAGAAGGAUAAUAAAAUGUUACAGACAAAAGACAUUAAUGCAACUUUUGCGGAUUUACCGGCACCUCAGUUAGAAUGGGAAGAGAUGGCAGAAGCUCCUGUGCCUCGUCUAGAUGGAGCUGCUAUACAGAUUAAGAAUCUGCUGUAUGUUUUUGCUGGAUAUGGUACCAUUGACCAUGUGCAUUCCCAUGUGGAUAUCUAUAACUUUACAGAUAAUACAUGGGGAGGAAGAUUUGAUAUGCCAAAAGAAAUGGCACAUUCACAUCUAGGAAUGGUGACAGAUGGCAGAUAUAUUUAUGUAGUCACUGGACAGUAUGGGCCCCAAUGUAGAGGUCCUACAGCUCGCAAUUUUGUACUGGACACAGAGACGAAAGAAUGGCAUGAUUUGCCUCCAUUGCCAGUGCCUAGGUACGCACCAGCUACACAACUUUGGAGAGGCAGACUCCAUGUAAUGGGUGGCAGCAAGGAGGAUCGCCAUGAACCUGCAUUGGAUCAUUGGAGCCUCGCUGUAAAAGAUGGGAAAGCUUUGGACAAUGAAUGGAGAAAUGAGAUACCCAUACCACGUGGUGGUCCUCACAGGGCUUGUGUGGUUGCUAAUGAUCGGCUUCUUGCUAUUGGCGGUCAAGAGGGUGAUUUUAUGGCAAAACCUGGAUCACCGAUUUUCAAAUGUGUUCGCAGAAGUGAGGUGGUGUAUAGCAAUGUUUACAUGCUUGAUGAUGGUUUAAAGUGGAAGGAACUGCCACCCAUGCCUAAACCAGAUUCACACAUAGAAUUUGCAUGGGUAAAUGUAAACAAUUCCCUUAUUAUCGCUGGAGGAACUACGGAGAAACAUCCUGUGACUAAAAAGAUGGUCUUGGUUGGUGAAAUAUUUCGGUUCAACUUGGAUACACUGGAAUGGUCGGUUAUUGGGAAGUUACCUUUCCGCAUCAAGACCACCUUGGUAGGUUUCUGGAAUGGCUGGUUGUAUUUCACAUCUGGCCAGCGAGACAAGGGACCAAACGAUCCCUCUCCUAAAAAGGUUGUCGGGUGCAUGUGGAGAACUAAGCUACGGUUAUAGCUCUUACAUUUUAUCUGGAACUAUGUCAGUUUAUAUCUUCGCUAUUUCCGUCUAGAAUGUCUCACAUAUUGUUUCAUUUUUUUUUCAGUUCAAUUCCUCAUUCAAAUUUACAAACUAAUCCAGUGAUUUAUCCUGUACAAUUUAGUGGGCACUUCAUUUUUUUUUUCAGUCCUAUUUGUAGCAAGUCAAACAACACCCUUGGAGGUCUCCCAGUUUAUUAGACAAUUCAUGUCAAUUUUAUCUUAUAGUUUAUGUUGGUCUUCAGAAAUGUAUCAUUCAUGCAUUAUUUCCUUUUACAUGGCAGUUGCAGUGUGGGAUUUGUUGCAUCAAACUUAAAGUGGAAAACCUUCAUUUCCAUGUAGUAAUACUUUGCUUAGGUUUACAGGAAAAGGUAAUGCUUUGUAUUAGUCAUAUGUGCCUUAUUUUUCGGAACACCUCGACAUUUCUUGGAUCCCGUGCUGAUUUGUAGAAGCGUCGUCGAUGAUGGUCGGCAUUAAGGAUGAUUCUACUAGCUCGAACUAGAGCUAGCGGUUGUUAGAGAUUUGGUGCUUGAUGUGAGGAUCGUAAGACUUUUCGUUUUCAUCUCUUUUCUUUAUUUGGAUUUCAGGGCUUGAUUUUUUUACUUUUACGUUGUAGGUUGGGAACUGUUAUCGACAUGUUUUUCAUCUCUUUUCUUGUUCUGAGUCGGGGGACCGACAAUAACGAAUUUCCCCAUUGUUUUAUUUUGAUUCGAUCGGGAACCGUUGUCGAUUUCUUCAUUUUAGUUUGUGCAGAGUGGUCUUCAUUUCUAUGUUGUGGAGUAUAUUUUUCAAAUUUUUUUUCCCAAACUUGUAUUUAAGCUUUUUAUUAAUGGAUAUUAUCUAUGGGUUUCCUUGUUAAGGAAAAGAAAAAAAGGGAAACAAAGAGAGGGAGUUUGAGAACUGAAAAAAAAGGAAAGAUACAAAGCAUGUAACUUCGACUCGCUCAAAACAAGCCCUAGCUGGCAAUUUAAUCUCUCGCACUGCAGCCGUCUGCCCCAUGAACCAGUGGGAUCUCCUCAAACUGCUCCAAGAAGCCGUAACCGUCGCCAACGUUCCUCAGCGACCGGUACGCUCCAUACAUUGAGAACCUCUCCUGCGGACUAUUUACAACACAUCCCAUGGCUAUUUUCAAGGACUCCACAAUUUCGACGUCAUGGCCCUUCCCGCGCAGCGACUCAUCAACAGCAUCUCUGAUCCUACCUUCGCCCGCAAGCUUGCGAACCCAAUCCACCAAAUUUCCUGCAAAACGUAUCCCCACCGCAUCCGUGCCGAUCUCACCGGGCUUCCUCCCUGUGGCUAGCUCCAGUAGCACCACUCCUAAUGCAUAAACAUCGCCCUUUGUGGUCGGGACCGGAUUCGCAGCAUACUCCGGAGCCGCGUAGCCCAAUUCCCCGACGUUCGAUUCGAGGAGCCCCGAGAGGCCGAAAUCGGUGAUCUUGGCCUCAUAGUCUUCGUCGAGGAGGAUCGUGCUCGAGCUCAUGUAAUGGUGGAGGAGGGGAGCGUGGAACCAAUGGUGGAGCCACGUGAGACCGCGGGCGGCACCGAUUGCUAUCUUGAGCCUAGCAGGCCAAUCCAGAGAGCGAGAGGAAGAGUGUAGUCGGGAGGAGAGGGCGCCGUUCGGCAUGUACUUGUAGACGAGGAGGCGCUCGUCGUUGAUUGUGUAGAAGUCCAAGAGCGGUGCAAGGUUGGGGUGGCGGAGUCGACCAAUGCGACUGAUCGUCGCGGAGUAGAGGGCCUCGCCGAAGAGCCUGCACGACCGCAGCCGCUUGACGGUGAGCGCAGUUCCGUCGCUGAGGAAGGCCUUGUAUGACGUCCCCAGCUGCGCACUCCCAACCGCGAUAAUACGAUCGGGGUGGAAAUCUGCAGUUGCAUGUAGUAGAUCGGAGGGAGUUAGCUGCACGGUCAGCCUCCGGGAGAUCGUCAUGGGUGAGAUCUGGCCCAGAGACACCUGCAGCGACUCUGUCCGGCCCAACAAGUUUCUGCGCUCCCCGGUGGUGGCGAUAGGACUAUGAGUUACUUUCGAGGGACGGGAAAUGCACCGGUUCCAGAUUGUGAGCGAAAAGAGCAAAGAAGUUGCAAAACCAAAGACGCCGGCCAAGAUGUUCACAAGGAUAGCUUCGCCUUCCGUAGCAUGGCCGUGGCGGUGAGAGGAGACGUCGUAGCCGCGGCGUCGGUUGGGAUUCCCCGCAAACGAGUUGAACGAAUUGCCCGGCGGUGCGUGGAUUGGGCCACGAAGCAUGUCGUAGUCGUCCUUCGCUGCGCUUCCGUCGACACCGGUGUAGAUCGAAGCCGUCGAAACUGCGAGGAGAAUGAGAAGAUGGAGGGCUCCCAUGAUCUGUCUGCAGCUCUGAUCUUCAAAUUAAUGAUCUCAAAAAAUGGCAUGAGAUUACAAAUACACAAAAGUGCAGGGAGGAUAGGGGAGACUUGGUUGACAGUGAUAAAGACAAAUGUGGAAAUAUAUGAGGUAAAAAGACUAGGAUCUCAAACUGACAGCGUUAGACUUGGACUCAGCGGUCAAGCAUUUAAGCUGAUAGAGAAAGAGGAAAAUUUGCAAAUAGCUUGAUGUCGACUGGCGCGGCAGUGCCAGAACAACAUUCAGAAAGAAAGAUAUGACUCAAAAACGAAUAGAGUUGGUGCCAAAAUAGUUCAUGCUAUACCAACUAUGUGACACAUUUAGAAUUUAAAAUAGUUUUAUAUAUAAUAAAUAAUAAAAAUAUUUGUUUAAUC